rnacentral:rRNA from 1 species
CGACGAAUUCAGAUUCGCCCGCCGCGCCCCGCGCCGCUCCCGCCGCCCCCGCCCGCCUACGGGAGGCAGCAGUGGGGAAUAUUGGACAAUGGGCGCAAGCCUGAUCCAGCCAUACCGCGUGGGUGAAGAAGGCCUUCGGGUUGUAAAGCCCUUUUGUUGGGAAAGAAAUCCAGCCGGCUAAUACCUGGCUGGGAUGACGGUACCCAAAGAAUAAGCACCGGCUAACUUCGUGCCAGCAGCCGCGGUAAUACGAAGGGUGCAAGCGUUACUCGGAAUUACUGGGCGUAAAGCGUGCGUAGGUGGUCGUUUAAGUCUGUUGUGAAAGCCCUGGGCUCAACCUGGGAACUGCAGUGGAAACAGGACGACUAGAGUGUGGUAGAGGGUAGCGGAAUUCCUGGUGUAGCAGUGAAAUGCGUAGAGAUCAGGAGGAACAUCCAUGGCGAAGGCAGCUACCUGGACCAACACUGACACUGAGGCACGAAAGCGUGGGGAGCAAACAGGAUUAGAUACCCUGGUAGUCCACGCCCUAACGAUGCGAACUAGAUGUUGGGUGCAAUUUGGCACGCAGUAUCAAAGCUAACGCGUU